rnacentral:rRNA from 1 species
UGGGGAAUAUUGGACAAUGGGCGCAAGCCUGAUCCAGCCAUGCCGCGUGAGUGAUGAAGGCCCUAGGGUUGUAAAGCUCUUUCACCGGUGAAGAUAAUGACGGUAACCGGAGAAGAAGCCCCGGCUAACUUCGUGCCAGCAGCCGCGGUAAUACGAAGGGGGCUAGCGUUGUUCGGAAUUACUGGGCGUAAAGCGCACGUAGGCGGACAUUUAAGUCAGGGGUGAAAUCCCGGGGCUCAACCCCGGAACUGCCUUUGAUACUGGGUGUCUAGAGUUCGAGAGAGGUGAGUGGAAUUCCGAGUGUAGAGGUGAAAUUCGUAGAUAUUCGGAGGAACACCAGUGGCGAAGGCGGCUCACUGGCUCGAUACUGACGCUGAGGUGCGAAAGCGUGGGGAGCAAACAGGAUUAGAUGCCCUGGUAGUCCACGCCGUAAACGAUGGAAGCCAGCUGUCGGCAAGUUUACUUGUCGGUGGCGCAGCUAACGCAUUAAGCUUCCCGCCUGGGGAGUACGGUCGCAAGA